AGUGGUUGAUUUCGUUUGGCAAUGGUCCCACUUUUUCGAUUCGCUAAAAUUGCAAGGAAUUAGAGCAUUUCAUCGGAUUGAAGGUCAGUGCUAUUGUUGGUAAUUCAUUUGCCAGAAAUGGACCUUAUCAAGCUAAUCUAGGCCAGUUUAGUACUAAACAUAAAAUAAAUUAAGGUGGUUCCAGCUUUACAUUGACUUUUUUAGCGGAAGAUUGGCGUGUGUGGCGUUUGGUGCUUGUUUUUGGUGAUUCAGAAGCUUCAU